rnacentral:rRNA from 1 species
AGAGCGAACGCUGGCGGCAGGCCUAAUACAUGCAAGUCGAGCGGCCACUUCGGUGGCAGCGGCGGACGGGUGAGUAACGCGUGGGAAUGUGCCCUUUGGUACGGAACAACUGAGGGAAACUUCAGCUAAUACCGUAUGUGCCCUUCGGGGGAAAGAUUUAUUGCCAUUGGAGCAGCCCGCGUUGGAUUAGCUAGUUGGUGGGGUAAAGGCCCACCAAGGCGACGAUCCAUAGCUGGUCUGAGAGGAUGAUCAGCCACACUGGGACUGAGACACGGCCCAGACUCCUACGGGAGGCAGCAGUAGGGAAUCUUGCGCAAUGGGCGAAAGCCUGACGCAGCCAUGCCGCGUGAAUGAUGAAGGUCUUAGGAUUGUAAAAUUCUUUCACCGGGAAGAUAAUGACGGUACCCGGAGAAGAAGCCCGGCUAACUUCGUGCCAGCAGCCGC